rnacentral:rRNA from 1 species
UCGGGAAUUUUGGGCAAUGGGCGAAAGCCUGACCCAGCAACGCCGCGUGAGGGAUGAAGUAUUUCGGUAUGUAAACCUCGAAAGAAUGGGAAGAAUAAAUGACGGUACCAUUUAUAAGCUCCGGCUAACUACGUGCCAGCAGCCGCGGUAAUACGUAGGGAGCAAGCGUUGUUCGGAUUUACUGGGCGUAAAGGGCGCGUAGGCGGCGCGGUAAGUCACUUGUGAAAUCUCUGAGCUUAACUCAGAACGGCCAAGUGAUACUGCUGUGCUAGAGUGCGGAAGAGGCAACCGGAAUUCUUGGUGUAGCGGUGAAAUGCGUAGAUAUCAAGAGGAACACCUGAGGCGAAGGCGGGUUGCUGGGCCGACACUGACGCCGAUGCGCGAAAGCCAGGGGAGCAUACG